CAAUGGAUAGUGGCGCACGGGCUGAGUAACGCGUGGGAAUAUGCCCUGGAGUACGGAAUAACUAAGGGAAACUUUAGCUAAUACCGUAUACGCCCCAAGGGGGAAAGAUUUAUCGCUCCAGGAUUAGCCCGCGUCUGAUUAGCUUGUUGGUAAGGUAAUGGCUUACCAAGGCGACGAUCAGUAGCUGGUCUGAGAGGAUGACCAGCCACACUGGGACUGAGACACGGCCCAGACUCCUACGGGAGGCAGCAGUGGGGAAUAUUGGACAAUGGGGGAAACCCUGAUCCAGCCAUGCCGCGUGAGUGAAGAAGGCCUUAGGGUUGUAAAGCUCUUUCAGCGGGGACGAUGAUGACGGUACCCGCAGAAGAAGCCCCGGCUAACUCCGUGCCAGCAGCCGCGGUAAUACGGAGGGGGCUAGCGUUGUUCGGAAUUACUGGGCGUAAAGCGCGCGUAGGCGGUGUGCAUAGUCAGAGGUGAAAGCCCGGGGCUCAACCCCGGAACUGCCUUUGAUACUUGCACGCUAGAAUCCGUGAGAGGGUAGUGGAAUUCCUAGUGUAGAGGUGAAAUUCGUAGAUAUUAGGAAGAACACCAGUGGCGAAGGCGACUACCUGGCACGGCAUUGACGCUGAUGUGCGAAAGCGUGGGGAGCGAACAGGAUUAGAUACCCUGGUAGUCCACGCCGUAAACGAUGAGUGCUAGUUGUUGGGAUGUUUACAUCUCGGUGACGUAGCUAACGCGUUAAGCACUCCGCCUGGGGAGUACGGCCGCAAGGCUAAAACUCAAAGGAAUUGACGGGGGCCCGC
rnacentral:rRNA from 1 species